CCGCCACGCCCGGCUAAUUUUUAUUAAUGUUUUGCUAGAGCCGGGAUCUUGCUGUGUUGUCUGGCUGGUCUUAAACUCCUGGGCUCCAGCGAUCCUCCCUCCUCGGCCUCCCAAAGCGCUGGGAUUACAGGCAUGAGCCACACUGCGCCUGGCCAAGCUAGUGCAUUUUAAUUGACCUUCACUUCAUGUCAAUUUAUUUUUUACACUAUUCCAUUUAGUCCUCAGAACAGUUCUUUAGAAUUGGGUAUUGCUCCGUUUACGUGGGAAACAUAGCAGCGAGGUAACGGGCUGGGUCCCGUGCUGGGAACGGGAGCCCUGCUCAUCUGACUGCUUGCACCCUGUGCUGUCUAUGCUGGGCGUACUGGGGGGCGUUAGGGAAGAGACCACAGGUACGAUGCAAUGCCUGUCCUCAAGGAGCCCAUUGUUCUCAUGGGAACACAAAGCUGACACAUCGAGAACAAACUAUGGAACAGGCUGUGGCUGAGGGCCAUGAAGGAAGGCUGCCAAGUCCGGGCCCAGCCAGGUAGCAGCCACACCUCUAUCUACCCUGCUCCCCAACACUGGGCACCAGCACUCACCUGCCCAGGACCCACAGUGAAAACCCACCCACAAAAAAUGCACUUUGGAGAAGAGUAGCAGGUCCCAGGCAGAGCCAGGGCCACCUCUCAGAAAGGACAUCAAGUUUCUCGCCCAGCUGAGAGAUGGACAGAUGACCGCACAAGCCACUCACAGCCCAAGGAGUGGCCAGAAGGCUCCUCUCCAGGCCUCACAGAGGGAAACACUGGUCUAGUGAGAGACCUGCGUCCUGCCCAUCAGGACCGAAGCGGCACGCGUGAGGAUCCUGCAGGCCAAGAGACAACAGCGAUUACAAACCCCAGUCCCAGCCUUGCAGCUGACCUUGCAGGUGACGCCCUGCCUGGGUGUCUCGGUGCAGCUGCACAUCAGGGGCCUCUGCUGGACAGAAGCUCUGAGUCCACACUUGGCCCCCAGGCGCUGGAGCUGGAGCACUGCCACGAGAGGGGAUGCUGCCGUGGCUGCGCCAGCUUCAGCCCUUUCCCUGCACCGAGAUGUCCCAGUGAGCGGCUGGGUGCUCACAGUUCCCGUUGGGCCAUCAGAGGAAGAUCAAAGAUCAACCCUCCCCCAUGGGCUCCUGCCUGCCUGCCAGGUGGGUUUCCUGCCUGUCUCCCAGCCCCCAAGAGCUCCACGGACUCUGCCAGUAGCUGCUUUAAAGGAGGGAGGGAGUUUUCUGAUCCUCUGGACAUCCCUGGGGCUGGAGCUAUGGGCUGAGCCAUAGGAGAGCCAGCCCAGCUCCCUGGGGGUUGGGGGCUGUGUCUCUCCAUCCCUUAGUAAAAAUACAGCAACUCCCAACUCAAAGUCAAGGGUCAAUAGUCACAAAACCUUGGUGCAGCCUGGAACAGGCAUAGAGGUCUCAGCAGAGCUGCCCAAGGACAAGACCUAAGAUCCAGCAGGGAACUAUGUAGUCACCCCGAGAGGCCCAGCUCUCUCCGUGAGCUCUGGGCCUAGGGUGGGGGUGGUUGUUGGUUCUGCGCGCACUGUUCCCCCUACAUGAUGGGUCCAUCCCAGUUGGCUUCUCUCACUCGCUUCCUCCUGUGGAGAAGCCUGUCCAGGUGUCACUGCCUCCAGGAAGCUGUCUCUGAUUUCUCCAGUUGAACAGUGAGAUUUGCCACACCUCACAUGCAUCGCUCUUGUCCCUGGAAUUGUAACCAUAGGUUUUCCUGUCUCCUGGAGGACAAGGAUGAGGGCUUUCCACUUGAGUCUCCCUGGUGGAGCCCAGCUCCUGACAUACCUGGUAAAAGUUCUCAAGAGAAGAACAUGGAGGAGGAAUGUGGAUAACAACCCUGGCUGCCUGUGUGUUCCAAGCUAGGAAGAUGUAAUGUCCCCACAAACGGGGUAAAUGGCUUGCCUGCGUCACAGCUGUCUCAAGCCCAGGCCCUGGGUGCCAGCCCAAGCCCAAGGACUAGGUCCAGAGCCACACAGCGCCAGGCCACAUCCGCCUCACCUGGGACCUUUUGUGGGGUACAGUCUCCGGCCCCACCCAGACCUGCUGAAGGAGAGACCCCAUGGCAAGGACUCAGCCACCUGCAGUUUCAUAAGCCCCCAGUGGGUUCCUAGGCAUGAAGACCACCGGUUAGAGGCUGAACUGGCAGGAACCUGUCUCCAGCCCCUUCUCACCCCAGCCGGGCCCUGCCUCAGAGGCAGCACCCAGGACGUGGCCAUGACCCGUGGACUCCACUCAAUCCCUCUUCUCCAGGAGCCAUGCAAAGUGUCAGCCAGCCAGGCCCCUGGAAGGCAGUCAUCACCUCUUAAGGCAUUGCGGGUGUCGGUCCUGCAACUGCCAGGUGCAGCACACGACCCAUGUCCGGUGUUCGAUAGCAGGGAGCCAUGACCUGGCAACGAUUCCACGCUCAAAGGGGCACCCGGGGGGCCCUGGGUCGGGGCGGAUCAGCUUUCCCUGGGCACAUCUGCCUCAUUCCAGAUCUCCAGGGCUCAUGUCUGUGACAGGGAGGGAAGGCUCUGCCCUGGCCUUCCGUCAGCUCUGCCAGUGCAGGCUGGGCAGCCUGGGCUUUAGAGCUGGCUUCUGCCCACACUUUCUCCGUGAAAGGAAAACAACUAUGAGUCUGCCAAACGCAUCUCAGAUGCGUUUUAAAAAAUUCUGGUCCCCGCUCUCUGUCCCAUCAUCUGCCUCGGGGACUUCCUCUCUCCGUGGUUCUCACCCCAUACUCUGUCACUGCCACAUUUUCACCUGGGCCUGGCCUUUGUCUC
ensembl:lncRNA LINC01547 long intergenic non-protein coding RNA 1547